CAACUUUCAGCAGUGGAUGUCUAGGGCUCGCACAUCGAUGAAGAACGCUUGCGAACUGCGAUACCGUAAUGMCGAAUUGCAGAAUUCAGUGAGUCAUCGAAAUUUUGAACGCACAUUGCACUUUCGGGAUAUUCCUGGAAGUAUGCUUGUAUCAAGUGUCCGUA
rnacentral:rRNA from 1 species